UAUUUUGAAGCUAUGUUUCAG
rnacentral:piRNA from 1 species